AGUGAACGCUGGCGGCGUGCUUAACACAUGCAAGUCGAACGAGAACGGAUUAUAGCUUGCUAUAAUUGUCAGCUAAGUGGCGCACGGGUGAGUAAUGUAUAGGUAAUAUGCCUCUUACUAAGGGAUAACAAAUGGAAACGUUUGCUAAUACCUUAUACUCCUUAUUAACAGAAGUUAAUAAGGGAAAGAUUUAUUGUUAAGAGAUUAGCCUGUAUUGUAUCAGUUAGUUGGUGGGGUAAUGUCUUACCAAGACUAUGACACAUAACUGGUUUGAGAGGAUGAUCAGUCACACUGGAACUGAAACACGGUCCAGACUCCUACGUGAGGCAGCAGUGGGGAAUAUUGCACAAUGGACGAAAGUCUGAUGCAGCAACGCCGCGUGGAGGAUGACACAUUUCGGUGCGUAAACUCCUUUUAUAUGAGAAGAUAAUGACGGUAUUAUAUGAAUAAGCACCGGCUAACUCCGUGCCAGCCGCCGCCGUAA
rnacentral:rRNA from 1 species